rnacentral:rRNA from 1 species
GUCCCAAGGGUUGGGCUGUUCGCCCAUUAAAGUGGCACGCGAGCUGGGUUCAGAACGUCGCGAGACAGUUCGGUCUCUAUCUAUUGCGGGCGUUAGAAAUUUGAGGGGAGCUGCCAUUAGUACGAGAGGACCGUGGCGGACGCACCUCUGGUGUACCUGUUGUGGCGCCAGCUGCACCGCAGGGUAGCCAUGUGCGGCAGUGAUAAGCGCUGAAAGCAUAUAAGCGCGAAACAUACCCCGAGAUGAGAUUUCUUUUAAGGGUCGUUCGAGAAGAGGACGUUGAUAGGCUGCAGGUGUACAGGCAGUAAUGUCAUAGCCGAGCAGUACUAAUUACCCGUAGACUUCCUCAAC